rnacentral:rRNA from 1 species
AUUGAACGCUGGCGGCAGGCCUAACACAUGCAAGUCGAACGAGUGGCGGACGGGUGAGUAAUGACUGGGAAACUGCCUGAUGGAGGGGGAUAACUACUGGAAACGAUAGCUAAUAACGCAUACCAGCAGAUGUGCCCAGAUGGGAUUAGCUAGUAGGUGGGGUAAAGGCGCACGUAUGCGCCGAUCCCUAGCUGGUCUGAGAGGAUGACCAGCAACACUGUAACUUAGACACGGUCCAGACUCCUAAGCGAGGCAGCAGUGGGUAAUAAUGUACAAUGGGCGCAAGCCUGAUGCAGCCAUGCCGCGUGUAUGCAGAAGGCCUUCGGGUUAUAUAGUACUUUCAGCGGGGCGGCGUUGACCGCAGAAGAAGCACCUGCGAACUCCGUGCUAGCAGCCGCGGUAAAUC